GAAGUACUCCAUUCGUCCGGAAAUACUUGUCCUCAAAAUGGUUGUAUCUAGACUUAGUUUAGUUAUAGAUACAUCUAUUUUAUCUAUUUCGAGGACAAAUAUUUCCAGAUGAAGGGAGUAGUAA
rfam:Triticum aestivum genome assembly, contig: Triticum_aestivum_CS42_TGACv1_scaffold_271611_3DS